rnacentral:rRNA from 1 species
GACGAACGCUGGCGGCGUGCUUAACACAUGCAAGUCGAACGAUGAAGCUGGAGCUUGCUCCGGUGGAUUAGUGGCGAACGGGUGAGUAACACGGGAGCAAUCUGCCCUUGACUCUGGGAUAACUGCGGGAAACUGUAGCUAAUACCGGAUACUUUCACUGGAAGUCAUCUUCUGGUGAAGAAAGAAUUUCGGUCAAGGAUGAGCUCGCGGCCUAUCAGCCUGUUGGUGAGGUAACGGCUCACCAAAGGGACGACGGGUAGCCGGCCUGAGAGGGUGACCGGCCACACUGGGACUGAGACACGGCCCAGACUCCUACGGGAGGGAGCGGUGGGGAAUAUUGCACAAUGGGCGCAAGCCUGAUGCAGCAACGCCGCGUGAGGGAUGAAGGCCUUCGGGUUGUAAACCUCUUUUAGCAGGGAAGAAGCGAAAGUGACGGUACCUGCAGAAAAAGCACCGGCUAACUACGUGCCAGCCGCCGCCGUAA